AAGUCGUAACAAGGUUUCCGUAGGUGAACCUGCGAAAGGAUCAUUGUCGAAAAUUGCUAAGCAGAGCGACCCGCGGAAGCGUUGAAAUAAAUCGUUGGGGGCGCGGCGCCCUCGACCGCCGGCCGAGCCCGCAUCUCGCAGCCUUCUCCGGGAGCGGCAACGGGGGUGCGGGGCUAGGCUCAGCACAAGAACGAAACCCGGCGAGGAUUACGCCAAGGAACAAUAACAUAGUGUGAGCUGCCUUGCUGCCGGACGCCCGGCAGGUGAGGCGGCGACCCGUCAUAUCUGAACGACUCUCGGCAACGAAUAUCUCGGCUCUCACAUCGAUGAAGAACGUAGCGAAAUGCGAUACUUGGUGUGAAUUGCAGAAUCCCGAGAACCAUCGAGUCUUUGAACGCAAGUUGCGCCCGAAGUCUCUAGGCUGAGGGCAUGUCUGCCUGGGCGUCACGCAUAGCGUCGCCCCCAACCAGUCCAUCUGGUCUCCGCGUGCUCGGUCGGGGCGGAAGGUGGCCUCCCGCGCGCUGCCGCGCGGUUGGCCUAAAAUCGGAGGGCUCGGCGAUUGUGCCGCAGCGUUCGGUGGUCGACGAGGCGAAGGCCAAGGCCGCAUCGCGUCGCGCCCGGCACGUCCCCCGCGGAGCUCUCGUGACCCUGUCGCGUCGUCCGUACGGCUCCAACGCAGCGACCCCUGGUCAGGCGGGGCCACCCGCUGAGUUUAAGCAUAUCAAUAAGCGGAGGAAAAGAAACUUACGAGGAUUCCCCUAGUAACGGAGACCGAACCGGGAAGCGCCCAGCUUUAGAAUCAG
rnacentral:rRNA from 1 species